rnacentral:rRNA from 1 species
GAUGAACGUUGGCGGUGUGCCUAAUACAUGCAAGUCGAACGGUGAUUAUUUUGUAGUAAUACGAGAUAAUUAUAGUGGCGAACGGGUGAGUAACGCGUUGGUGAUCUGCCUCGAAGUGUGGAAUAACGUUCCGAAAGGAACGCUAAUACCGCAUGUGCUCUCAGUUUUUAGAAAGUUGAGAGUAAAGGAUUUAUUCGCUUCGAGAGGAGCCUGCGUCCCAUCAGCUAGUUGGUAGGGUAACAGCCUACCAAGGCAAUGACGGGUAGGGGACCUGAGAGGGUGGCCCCCCACAAUGGAACUGAAACACGGUCCAUACACCUACGGGUGCAGCAGUAGGGAAUAUUAGAAAUGGACGAAAGUCUGAUCUAGCGACACCGCGUGUGCGAAGAAGGCCUUCGGGUUGUAAAGCACUUUUUGGAAGGAAUAGGAAGGAAGGUACUUCCAGAAUAAGUCUCGGCUAAACUACGUG